rnacentral:lncRNA from 1 species
UGGGAGGAGUUACGCAGGCAGGGUUGUGGUUGCUGGCUGUUACCAGGACAACCGGAGGCGAUUGACCGUUAUCUGCGGUUUGGAGCCGUUAGCGGGAGAGGCAGAGAUAUUCAGAGGUCUUUUAGGAUGCGCUAAAGGGUCGUGAGGGCUCUCUUAAAAUUUUCUUCACAAGCGGUUAUCCAGUCGUGCCCCGCGGCCCUGCUGCUGGCCCCGGGGAUCUGAGUCGUACCCUCUUGUUUUUCUCUGAGUCAGUCUUAAGGUGAAAUGAAGUGUGGCCCAGUGGCUCCUCACUGUCGCUUCUCUAGUUUUCUGCCUCCUUUUAGAAAAUCAACAAAGAAGGCAUUGAAGGCUUUAAAUCUGUUUACAGUGAAUUGAAAAGACAGGAUGAAGUGGACACAGCAUGUGAAGACAAUUCUUUCAAGAAGUUUGGCUGUCAAGGAAAACAGAGAAUGUGCUAAAGAACAUACAGACACAGAGCAGACAGGCCACCUUUGCAACCACAUGGAGGUUUGUCUGAUAUUGAAGCUAAAGAAGCUAAGCUGGAAGACAGAGAGACCAAGUCCUGAUGACAUUGUUUGAACCCAGAGAUCCAGACAUGCCUGAAAACUAGUUUUACCACUGGACUUAUCCGUUGAAUGAGCCAAUAAACUCUCUUUUAUACUUAACCUUGGGUUUUACCUGGAUUUUUGUCAUUGACAGCUCAAAAUAUUCUAAUAUAGAAGUAUACAUCAUUAAAUCAACAUUUCUUUUUUUCUCUGUCUUAUUUUAAAUGUAACUCUAUAAGGUACUCUAAAAGUAUUCUACAGUCUCACUAAGUUAAUCUGCAAAUUUGGUAAAAUUCCAAUAUUAAUCCCAAAAGUAUUUUAAGAGCUUGUUUUUGUUGUUUGCUUGUUU